rnacentral:lncRNA from 1 species
UCACCCCAUCCCACCCCAUCCAAAGGUAUGUAUUCUUGGGCUGCUACUGAACCUCUUAGCUUCUGUCUUCUCACCUAUAAAAGGCGAAUUGGCAAGGUCAUCCCCUUUGGCAGGUAAGUAAAUGCGGAGGACAUAGUCCACGUUAAAUAAAUGACAGCGACUGCUGUUUCACUGGUUGUCAUGCCCAUGAGCAAGUCAGUACCUGUUCUCCCCACCAAGGACAAGCUAACCCUGCUACCCAGGUCCUGCUCGUGUCCUGAGCUCCUCCUCAUACGUGCCACCAGACUUGGUUUUGUAUCCUACCUGGGCUUCAGGAGAGAGAAUUAAAAAAAUCAAAUUAGGUAAAAUUGGAGUUAAAUGAUAAUGAUAACUUCUCAGCUACUUCAACCUCAGUUUCUGCCCUUUUUGAACUUGCCAAGCAGUGGAGGUAUCUUAACAGGCCCGUUCUGUGACUGUUACCACUGUUCCCAUUUUAAUGCAGCUAUUUGUGUACUAGGUACCUCUCUCCCAUGAAGCUGUGAACUACUUAAAGCACAAUAAAGAAAGGAAAGAAGGAAGGAAGGAAGGAAGGAAGGAAGAAAGGAAGGAAGGAAACAAGGCAGGCAGGAAGGAAUAAUUAAUGAAUAAUACUGCAUUCAGGAAACUAGACCCAGUAUUUUCAAAGUGACUCAUACCCAGCCAUCCUCUCCUUUGCCAGUUAGCAUUGAUAAUCUCCAAUUGCUCAACCACUUGUUUCUUUUAAUUUUAACAAUCUUACAGCUGAAGCUAUCUAAGAUUUAUUCAGGAGAAUAUAUUUUGUAACACCUCCUUUUUCCUGUAAACAUUGAAGGAAGGUUCGUGAUAUGGACCCUUGGCUGAAAUUUGAAGGUGAAAAAGGACGGCUCCGUUCCUAUUUAUGGUGUGGGAGUGACUUUCCUUCACCACUAGCCUGGGUGAAGUUUAAUGACUGACCAAGAGGGAAGUAAUUCAUUCUUCCUGUCAUCCUAUUUUAUUCCCCUGCCCCUCACCUUGUGCUCUCUUUUCCUGCUCAGCUCCUAUUCUGAUCUUUCUUUGUCAAGGAUGUUUCUCAUGAUUAAGUGCUUAUAUCUUCUUCUCCCCAGCAUAUUUGUUUGGAUAGAUUUAGGACAGAUAAAAUUGCUGAAAAUUGCCUGGUUUCUGUUUUCUCUAGAGAGAAAACCCUGAAAGAUUUUUAGCUAAUGGCAUUAGACCAGUUUCGAUCACUGUAAGAUUCUCUGGCUUUAGUUCUAUAACCCUCCAGAAGUCUAGAUCUUUUUGAUAUUAAAGAAAACAUGCACACUUUGAGUGAGCUACUGAGUUCCAUCGAAUUGUUUCCAUUUUACAGAGACUAAGGACAGGGGACCACUGGGAAGGCACAUAAGGAAACAAAAGGGACUUUGACCCAGAGACUGGACCCUGAGUCUAUAUGAAAUAGGAGGUGGGGCCAAAGUUAAUGGAGAACCUGGACUAACAGCCUCACCACCUUGGAUCACUUUCAGUAACCACCAGGCCUACCUGGAAGUGCAACUCUGGGUCAUGUGGAAGUGAAAACUGCAGUGGUAGGCAUCCAGUGUCUAUUCUGGGGGCUCUGACUUGGUUCUCCGCUCACCUAUCUGAAGGGCUGGCUUGGCAUGGACUUAUUUAGUGUCUUUCUUUAUGGAACUCAAAAAGCCUUUAUAUGUAGCCUUAUCUUUCAGUUGUCCCAAGAAGCUCUAUUGGCAUUAGAAGCAAAGAUAUCUGCAACUGAAGUUUUCCAUAACUUGCAUUUUUGUCCCAAGUUUUAUGGCCCUUGGCAGAACGUCACUGAGUCCUGGUCUUAUGGCCAGAAUACCUGAGUCUUAAAAUCUGAGACCAGGGGCUUCUGAUCAGAUGGGCCUGGGCCCCUGGCUCAAAUCUUACCUGCUUUACCAGCAAUAGAUGGCAAUUCCUGCCCCCUUUCUCCUCUGUCCUUCAGAAAGGGCAGGAGCUGAAGUUGAAAGAGCUGAAAAGCUAUAAAGAGUUGUCAACUGCUUUUUUUCCAAUUCUGGUUUUUAAAUUAUCUCUUAUGAGGUCCAGUUAAAACAUAAUGCAGGUUCAGUCAAUUCCGCUUCUAAAUCUCAGCCAUGAAGGAACUGGGAAGGUGCUCAAUAGCCACUAUUAACAGUUGUUCCUUACAACCACAUGGCAGCACUGUUGAAGAUCUGUCCUGCACAGCCCGGUGAACACACAUCCAUUGUAUUGAUGCCCUUGUUUUCUCCAUUUCUGCACAAGCUGAGAUUGUGGUCUAUGUGUGGCCUCCCAGGGUACAGUUCCCACAGUUCAUACAGAUAGGCUUAGCCAAGCUUUCCCUGCCACAGGACACAGUGCUUGGGUGGCUAUGUUUAGGAGUUACCAGCACAAGCUAUGCUGGGAGCAGCCCUUCUCAACAAGACUUCAGGCCUUGUAUUGAGUCCAAGCCAGCAAAUAAACUCUCAGUGACUUCCUGCUCAAUUCCUCUUGGGAAUCUUGGGACAGGGACACUAUUAGUCUUGACAGAUUCUCAAUUUUGAAUGUCUGGGUCUGUCUUUUUUUUCCUAAUAGGCUUUUGGCUUCUUCUACAAAUUUUUCAACUCCCAUCUUCUGUGGCCAGUUCUUCAUACCCAGGGGAGGAGAUAUUUGCUUUUGUUCUAAUAUAAAAUGUUCAUUAGAUCACCAACCCCUAUCCAUCACUGCAGCCACACUUACACAACACUUCUUUGUCAGAAUGGAUGUAUGAAGUUGCUUCAAAACCCAUCUUCUUCGUUCAAUGAAGAGUUAAGUGGUUGGUGAGGAGCAAAUAGUUUUUGGCAUUCAGCUACGAAAGACUCACAACCACUUUAAAAACUUUUUAUUUUUAAUUUUUUUGAGAUGGAGUCUCACUCACUCUGUUGCCCAGGCUGCAGUGCAGUGGUGCAAUCUCGGCUCACUGCAAUCUCCACCUCCUGGCUUCAAGUGAUUCUCCUGCCUCAGCCUCCCUGAGUAGCUGGGAUUACAGGUGUGUGCCACCACUCCCAGCUAAAUUUUUGUGUUUUUAUUAGAGAUGGAUUUCACCAUUUUGGCCAGGCUGGUCUUGAACUCUUGAUCUCAAGUGAACCACCCGCCUUGGCCUCCCAAAGUGCUGGGAUUACAGGUGUGAGCCACUGCACCUGGCCACAACCAUUUAGAAAAUGGUUUGAAUAUAGCAUUCAUGAUCUGUGGGCUAUGGAAACCUUAAUCUCACUACAAACUAUUCAAUAUAAGAAAGUCUCACU